CAGGCAGCAACUGAAGGGACAUUGUAAUGCAUUGGUAGCAUUUCUCAGGCAUUUUUCCAGGGCUUAAACACAUUCAGUUGGAAUAAAACUUGAAACGCAGCCCCCUCUUUUUUGGAAUGGAUUUCUGGAGCCUGUUGCCACUCAUCGAAGAAGCAUUUCUUUUUUGGAAGUAGAUUUCCAACUUAACCCUGGCUGAGAAAGACUGCUGUAAAUGAGCAGGGAAGACCCCCUUGAGCGCACUGGGCAGAAGUUCAUAUGCAGAUUUUAUUGGGGGAGGAACUGCAUUGCCACAAAGACGCUCAUCAUGGCUGCUCUGUUGAUUUGAAAAGAAAAAAGGAGAGAGAGAGAGAGAAAAAAAAAAACCCCAGGAAAUUGGUAUUUUAUGUUCACCUGGGGGUGAAUAUUCCUUUUUGUUUUCUAUUUAAAAAUUCUUACUGCUUUCCAAGUCAGAAUUCACCAGGAUUCGCUGAAGACUUAUUCUUAAAAAGCCUUCGUCACAUUCUAACGCAUCGCUGUCAUGCACUUUUAGGGCUCACAUAGAUGAGCUAAGCAGGGAAGAGGAAAACCUAACAUGGAAUAAUGGGUUUCCGAAAGUUCAUUUGAUCAUUUGAAGGAAUUGGAUUUACCUUUGGUACAAUUGCGGAAUGGGGGGUUGGGGAAGUGAAAAAUCAAAGGUUGGAAGGAAAAAUCUGGGAAGGUAGAAAAAGGAAAUUUGAGAAUUGAUUGGCUCCAGUUGCUGUCAGCGGGUGGAUGUCGGUUUUUUUUUUUUUUUCGCUUCUUUUUUUUUUUUUUCCUUUUUUUUUUCUUCUUCUACAGGAAGUGAUUUGCAGUGCUCACCGAGCCUUUGUUGAGAAGGGUCUCCUCUCAGAGUGAGUCAUGCUUUUGCUGUGAGCAGCCCCAAGCAGCUGGGCUCUCCAUCACAGGCAACUAUGACUUUUGCAAAG
rnacentral:lncRNA from 1 species